UACGGAGGGUGCGAACGUUAAUCGGAAUCACUGGGCGUAAAGCGCGCGUAGGCGGUCUGUUAAGUGGGAUGUGAAAUCCCCGGGCUUAACCUGGGAAUUGCAUUUCAAACUGGCCGACUAGAGUACGGUAGAGGGAGGUAGAAUUUCCUGUGUAGCGGUGAAAUGCGUAGAUAUAGGAAGGAAUACCAGUGGCGAAGGCGAAUCUCUGGACAGUUACUGACACUGAGGCACGAAGGCCAGGGGAGCAAACGGG
rnacentral:rRNA from 1 species